rnacentral:rRNA from 1 species
AGCAGCCGCGGUAAUACGUAGGUGGCGAGCGUUGUCCGGAAUUACUGGGCGUAAAGCGCGCGUAGGCGGCUACUCAAGUCAGGGGUGAAAGCCCGGGGCUCAACCCCGGAACUGCCUUUGAAACUAGGUAGCUAGAAUCUUGGAGAGGUCAGUGGAAUUCCGAGUGUAGAGGUGAAAUUCGUAGAUAUUCGGAAGAACACCAGUGGCGAAGGCGACUGACUGGACAAGUAUUGACGCUGAGGUGCGAAAGCGUGGGGAGCAAACAGG